rnacentral:rRNA from 1 species
CCUACGGGAGGCAGCAGUGGGGAAUUUUGGACAAUGGGCGCAAGCCUGAUCCAGCAAUGCCGCGUGCAGGAUGAAGGCCUUCGGGUUGCAAACUGCUUUUGUACGGAACGAAACGGCUCUUUCUAAUAAAGAGAGCUAAUGACGGUACCGUAAGAAUAAGCACCGGCUAACUACGUGCCAGCAGCCGCGGUAAUACGUAGGGUGCGAGCGUUAAUCGGAAUUACUGGGCGUAAAGCGUGCGCAGGCGGUUAUAUAAGACAGAUGUGAAAUCCCCGGGCUCAACCUGGGACCUGCAUUUGUGACUGUAUAGCUAGAGUACGGUAGAGGGGGAUGGAAUUCCGCGUGUAGCAGUGAAAUGCGUAGAUAUGCGGAGGAACACCGAUGGCGAAGGCAAUCCCCUGGACCUGUACUGACGCUCAUGCACGAAAGCGUGGGGAGCAAACAGGAUUAGAUACCCUGGUAGUCCACGCCCUAAACCGAUGUCAACUGGUUGUUGGGUCUUCACUGCUCAGUAACGAAGCUAACGCGUGAAGUUGACCGCCUGGGGAGUCGGCCGCAAGGUUGAAACGUCAAAGGAAUUGACGGCUGAGACGAGCGACGGACGACGACGAGGGGAGGAGG